rnacentral:rRNA from 1 species
GAAUCUACCUCGUACUGGGGGAUAGCACGGGGAAACUCGUAUUAAUACCGCAUACGACCUACGGGAGAAAGGGGGCAGUUUACUGCUCUCGCUAUUAGAUGAGCCUAAGUCGGAUUACCUACAUGGUGGGGUAAAGGCCUACCAUGGCGACGAUCUGUAUCUGGUCUGAGAGGAUGAUCAUCCUCACCGGGACUGAGACACGGCCCGGACUCCUACGGGAGGCAGCAGUGGGGAAUAUUGAACAAUGGGGGAAACCCUGAUCCAUCCAUGCCGCGUGUGUGAAGAAGGCCUUUUGGUUGUCAAGCACUUUAAGCAAUGAAGAAGACUCUUCGGUUAAUACCCGGAGACGAUGACAUUACCUGCAGAAUAAGCACCGGCUAACUCUGUGCCAGCAGCCGCGGUAAUACAAAGGGCGCAAGCGUUAAUCGGAAUUACA